rnacentral:SRP_RNA from 1 species
UAUUUAUGCCAUAAGAAUGAUAACCUUGUAACUUGGUCAGGAUGGAAACAUAGCAGCCAUAUCGAGAAGUGUCGUGUCUUGUGGUUUUUUGUUUAAG